AAUCUGUUGAGGAGGAAAGAGCCAGAAACACCUGGUCCCUCAGGCAGGAUUGGGCCGAGCCUAUGCCCUGGCUUUUGCAGAAAGAGGAGCGUUAGUUGUUGUGAAUGAUUUGGGAGGGGACUUCAAAGGAGUUGGUAAAGGCUCCUUAGCUGCUGAUAAGGUUGUUGAAGAAAUAAGAAGGAGAGGUGGAAAAGCAGUGGCCAACUAUGAUUCAGUGGAAGAAGGAGAGAAGGUUGUGAAGACAGCCCUGGAUGCUUUUGGAAGAAUAGAUGUUGUGGUCAACAAUGCUGGAAUUCUGAGGGAUCGUUCCUUUGCUAGGAUAAGUGACGAAGACUGGGAUAUAAUCCACAGAGUUCAUUUGCGGGGUUCAUUCCAAGUGACACGGGCAGCAUGGGAACACAUGAAGAAACAGAAAUAUGGAAGGAUUAUUAUGACUUCAUCAGCUUCAGGAAUAUAUGGCAACUUUGGCCAGGCCAAUUAUAGUGCUGCAAAGUUGGGUCUUCUGGGCCUUGCAAAUUCUCUUGCAAUUGAAGGCAGGAAAAGCAACAUUCAUUGUAACACCAUUGCUCCUAAUGCGGGAUCACGGAUG
rnacentral:sRNA from 1 species